rnacentral:rRNA from 1 species
CGACAGGCUUAACACAUGCAAGUCGAGGGGCAGCACAGGUAGCAAUACCGGGUGGCGACCGGCGCACGGGUGAGUAACGCGUAUGCAACUUGCCUAUCAGAGGGGGAUAACCCGGCGAAAGUCGGACUAAUACCGCAUGAAGCAGGGGCCCCGCAUGGGGAUAUUUGCUAAAGAUUCAUCGCUGAUAGAUAGGCAUGCGUUCCAUUAGGCAGUUGGCGGGGUAACGGCCCACCAAACCGACGAUGGAUAGGGGUUCUGAGAGGAAGGUCCCCCACAUUGGUACUGAGACACGGACCAAACUCCUACGGGAGGCAGCAGUGAGGAAUAUUGGUCAAUGGGCGUAAGCCUGAACCAGCCAAGUCGCGUGAGGGAUGAAGGUUCUAUGGAUCGUAAACCUCUUUUAUAAGGGAAUAAAGUGCGGGACGUGUCCCGUUUUGUAUGUACCUUAUGAAUAAGGAUCGGCUAACUCCGUGCCAGCAGCCGCGGUAAUACGGAGGAUCCGAGCGUUAUCCGGAUUUAUUGGGUUUAAAGGGUGCGUAGGCGGCCUUUUAAGUCAGCGGUGAAAGUCUGUGGCUCAACCAUAGAAUUGCCGUUGAAACUGGGGGGCUUGAGUAUGUUCGAGGCAGGCGGAAUGCGUGGUGUAGCGGUGAAAUGCAUAGAUAUCACGCAGAACCCCGAUUGCGAAGGCAGCCUGCCAAGCCAUUACUGACGCUGAUGCACGAAAGCGUGGGGAUCAAACAGGAUUAGAUACCCUGGUAGUCCACGCAGUAAACGAUGAUCACUAGCUGUUUGCGAUACACUGUAAGCGGCACAGCGAAAGCGUUAAGUGAUCCACCUGGGGAGUACGCCGGCAACGGUGAAACUCAAAGGAAUUGACGGGGGCCCGCACAAGCGGAGGAACAUGUGGUUUAAUUCGAUGAUACGCGAGGAACCUUACCCGGGUUUGAACGCAUUCGGACCGAGGUGGAAACACCUUUUCUAGCAAUAGCCGUUUGCGAGGUGCUGCAUGGUUGUCGUCAGCUCGUGCCGUGAGGUGUCGGCUUAAGUGCCAUAACGAGCGCAACCCUUGCCACUAGUUACUAACAGGUAAAGCUGAGGACUCUGGUGGGACUGCCAGCGUAAGCUGCGAGGAAGGCGGGGAUGACGUCAAAUCAGCACGGCCCUUACAUCCGGGGCGACACACGUGUUACAAUGGCGUGGACAAAGGGAAGCCACCUGGCGACAGGGAGCGAAUCCCCAAACCACGUCUCAGUUCGGAUCGGAGUCUGCAACCCGACUCCGUGAAGCUGGAUUCGCUAGUAAUCGCGCAUCAGCCAUGGCGCGGUGAAUACGUUCCCGGGCCUUGUACACACCGCCCGUCAAGCCAUGGGAGCCGGGGGUACCUGAAGUCCGUAACCGAAAGGAUCGGCCUAGGGUAAAACUGGUGACUGG